AUCAGCAAAAGUGUUGCCAGAUGUUGACCAGAUGAUCAGCUUGACAUCCCCACUUGAAGGUCAAAUACCAAUAAUUCACAGCAACACAGGGGAUUGCAGAACUAUAUUUCACUGUAAGAUGGCAAGUGUCUUGCGUAAUGUUACUGCAAUUAUUAUUAUUGCAUGAUUGCACUACGCGAUGUUGUCAAAUGUCUCUUCUGAAGGAUCGUAAUGAAACAUCAAUUAACUAUUG